GAUGAACGCUGGCGGCGUGCCUAAUACAUGCAAGUCGAACGCAUAGCGAAAGGUGCUUGCACCUUUCAAGUGAGUGGCGAACGGUUGAGUAACACGUGGACAACCUGCCUCAAGGCUGGGGAUAACAUUGGAAACAGAUGCUAAUACCGAAUAAAACUUAGUGUCGCAUGACACAAAGUUAAAAGGCGCUUCGGCGUCACCUAGAGAUGGAUCCGCGGUGCAUUAGUUAGUUGGUGGGGUAAAGGCCUACCAAGACAAUGAUGCAUAGCCGAGUUGAGAGGCUGAUCGGCCACAUUGGGACUGAGACACGGCCCAAACUCCUACGGGAGGCUGCAGUAGGGAAUCUUCCACAAUGGGCGAAAGCCUGAUGGAGCAACGCCGCGUGUGUGAUGAAGGCUUUCGGGUCGUAAAGCACUGUUGUAUGGGAAGAACAGCUAGAAUAGGAAAUGAUUUUAGUUUGACGGUACCAUACCAGAAAGGGACGGCUAAAUACGUG
rnacentral:rRNA from 1 species